CAAAUUAAUCGGGCUUUUUCUUUAAAGGUAUUUGUCAUGAGCCUUAUUGCAAAGUGAGCUUUGCAUCUUAGUCUCCGUUAUCCAACAGGGAUGGGUAUUUGGGUCUGUCUGAGACUUGGCCUUUGACUAUCGUGACAACUGAAGCUCUCAUAAAGAGCUGUCCAGUUUGCCAUGUGGACAUAUUGAGUAUAGUUUCAUAGAUAUUUGAGGGUGUGUGUAGCUAUUUGAAGAAAACACUCAAGCUUUGGCUUUCUUUAUUAUGGUCACUUGAGUUGGGAUGCUCUAUUUAUGAAG
rnacentral:lncRNA from 1 species